AUUGAACGCUGGCGGCAGGCCUAACACAUGCAAGUCGAGCGGAUGAAGAGAGCUUGCUCUCUGAUUUAGCGGCGGACGGGUGAGUAAUGCCUAGGAAUCUGCCUGGUAGUGGGGGAUAACGUUCCGAAAGGAACGCUAAUACCGCAUACGUCCUACGGGAGAAAGCAGGGGACCUUCGGGCCUUGCGCUAUCAGAUGAGCCUAGGUCGGAUUAGCUAGUUGGUGAGGUAAUGGCUCACCAAGGCUACGAUCCGUAACUGGUCUGAGAGGAUGAUCAGUCACACUGGAACUGAGACACGGUCCAGACUCCUACGGGAGGCAGCAGUGGGGAAUAUUGGACAAUGGGCGAAAGCCUGAUCCAGCCAUGCCGCGUGUGUGAAGAAGGUCUUCGGAUUGUAAAGCACUUUAAGUUGGGAGGAAGAGCAGUAAGCUAAUACCUUGCUGUUUUGACGUUACCGACAGAAUAAGCACCGGCUAACUUCGUGCCAGCAGCCGCAGUAAAAC
rnacentral:rRNA from 1 species